rnacentral:rRNA from 1 species
UACGUAGGGUCCGAGCGUUGUCCGGAAUUAUUGGGCGUAAAGAGCUCGUAGGCGGUUUGUCGCGUCUGCUGUGAAAUCCCGAGGCUCAACCUCGGGUCUGCAGUGGGUACGGGCAGACUGGAGUGCGGUAGGGGAGAAUGGAAUUCCUGGUGUAGCGGUGGAAUGCGCAGAUAUCAGGAGGAACACCGAUGGCGAAGGCAGUUCUCUGGGCCGUAACUGACGCUGAGGAGCGAAAGCGUGGGGGGCGAACAGG